AAUUAAAAUAUAACAAAUUAUUUUGGACUUGGGUCUCCCUCAUUCCAAGCCCACAAGUCCACGAAAAUCAGCUAUAAAUAUAAGAGUUUCAGUAGGGUUUCAGACACUUGGAAAUUCCCUGAGAAAUAGACUUGGAGUUCACGUGGAGUUUCAAACCUAGGAACUACUCUGCAGCAACCUUCGGGCAGCCCUGAGAAGUUCAUUCCGCCUCACGCAAACCCUAAACGUUACUUCGCCAAUCCGGCCUUGCCUUCCAAUUUUAACAGGUCUCUCAUCAGCUUGGGAGAAUCUCAGGGUUGCUUAUCCUUUAAUUGCUGUAACUUCGGAUCUUGAUCCGUGUGGUAUUUUACUUCUUCCCUUUUAUUUCUACGGUUUCUUAGCUGGAAGACCUCGAUAGGAGGCAAUGUUUGAGCCCCUUGGUGGCAUUUUUUCUAUUUCAAGAUAUAUGUUUUGUGUGAUGUGAUUGUUUCCCCAUAGGAUGCGAGGCUUCGCAUAGCCUCCCGUUUGCAUGCCAAUUUAGGUAGCACUGUUCCUCCGCCUAGGACUUCCUCUUUGCAUGCGCGUUCCUACAACGCAAACAAAACCUAAAACCCAAAGCAACACGUUUACUCCUUCUACUACAGGCGAGUAAGUCUCCAAAGGUCGAGCAUCCGGUAGAUUGCGUAGUAACGUCGUUCACCCCGUAACAUAAUCCAUAACCCCGUAGUUAGUCGAACUACGGCUUGCUCUGAUUCUCAUUCCAGAUGAGAUACGUAGGCAUAAGACGCGACGUCUUAGCGAGCACAAUUACCCCCAACCCAUAGGUCAGCCGAGCUACGAAGACUCUGAUUCUCAUAUUCAGAUGAGAUACGUAUGCAGUGGAUGCGACAUCCGCGCGAGUCAUUUCUCUUAACCUUU